rnacentral:snRNA from 2 species
AUAUUCAUUUCUGCAACACACCUGCCAGAAUUGGAACAGCAAGAGAAGACAAGCAUGGCUCCUGCAGGAGAUGACAUGCCGCACUGUGAAGCAUUCCAUGUUUUU